GACGUAGGGCGCGAGCGUUGUCCGGAUUUAUUGGGCGUAAAGAGCUCGUAGGCGGCUUGUCACGUCGACUGUGAAAACCCGGGGCUCAACUCCGGGCCUGCAGUCGAUACGGGCUGGCUUGAGUGCGGUAGGGGAGACUGGAAUUCCUGGUGUAGCGGUGAAAUGCGCAGAUAUCAGGAGGAACACCGGUGGCGAAGGCAGCUCGCUGGGACGGUACUGACGCUAAGGCGCGAAAGCGUGGGGAGCGAACAGG
rnacentral:rRNA from 1 species